rnacentral:lncRNA from 1 species
AAGAGACCCAAAACUGGGCAAAACAUCAUGAGGGUGCGUAUGUGUCUCCACGGCUAAAGUUUUGCCAUGCUUCUAUGCCACACCUAAUUUUAAAGACGAAAUUGAAUGCAUAAACUCACAUGUGCGAAGGAUCAAUCACACACAUAAGUCACAAAUUACAUAUCAUCAUUACAGUGUUUAAACAAACAUAGUCAUAACAUCACAGAGUCUGAUACAACAACGAAAUGAAAUUAAAAUAACUCUCUCGGACCUUCAGACAGAAAAGGUUGACUUGUGAAGCAUAAGCCUAAAAGUCCUCCGGGUAGUCUUCAUAACUACCUUCAUCUGUUACCCAUCCGGGAUUUUAUCCAAAAAUAAAUAUAAACAAGCAUGAUUACAUGUCAUACUACACAAGGAUAGCAUGGGGAUUCAUGAUGCUCAAAAGGUUAGACUCGGUUUACUGCAAUAGCAUUUUAGUAAGUCAAUAUUUUAGCAUUAAUUAAAAUUAAGAUAUGCUUAAGCUCCCAAAUAACCCAUAUGAUCAGUUGUCGGAACCAUAGUGAAUCAUCAAGUCACAUCAUAGCAUGAUUAUUAUUCACCAAGUACAACAUCAUUUUAAUUAAUCAGUUAUUCUAGGCCGCUCGUGAACGUGAGCACGCCUGUUAUAACAGUUUUACACUCUGCAGAGGUGGUGCACUUUCACCGUGAGUCGUGUUACCCAUAUGCCCGAGGUCCGUCGACCCCCAAAUACUUAAAAGGUGAGCGGGCAAGGUACACUACGAAGCCUUCCAUAGGCCUAUUCUAACCGGUUAGGGGCGCGAGGUUUCCUCCGCAGGCAGAUGUAGAAAAUUUCCCUUCUAUGUGGCACAAAUCCAUCGUGGCUAUACUUAUAAAACCAGGGGCAGCCCUACACCCAAAGUUGGAAGUCCCUCAUGUGCCCUUUCGGGUCUCUAACGAGUUAAAAGAGACCCUAUUACUGAGCCAAGGUUAGAGCCAUAUGACUCUCCCUGUUGCACUGUAAAUCCUAGCUUUUGCCGACAGAUAAGUCCUUAUGGAGGGUCCACAAUAAUAUGACCAACAAUCAUUUGUACCAUAGCCCUAAGUUCCAUUUAUUAUAAUCAUAUUAUAUCAGUUAAUCCAUAGUGCAAUAAUUAAAGUAUAGAUCAUAUAUAAAGUUAGAGCACUAGCAUUUCUACCCAUAUGCAAUAAACCCUCAGGAGUCAAGGUGUUAUGUCAUCAACAAUUAGGAUGUCCUUAUAGUUGAUGAAAUUAGACACAUGCAGUAUGAAAUGUUUAAAGUGAGUAGGACAUCAAGGUAACCCCAUGUUAUACUUGCCUUGGUUCACAAAGUCUUGUUGGUCCUACUAAUCUUUGUAGCACUCCAGAUUCCCGUAUAACUCCUCAUCGUCUGAACUCGAUCAACACGUCACAACAACACGCAUUCCAAAGACAGACAUGCAAGCAAGCAUUCCUAAUGUUAGAAUAGUACACCAUGAGUAAAUAAAUGUAAAUAAAAGGUUUACCAAAAUCAUCUACAUGAUGCUACGCUCAUGUCAACGCGAAUUUCAAGGAAAAUAAUGUUAUGACACAAAAGUUACACAUUAAACUAGACCUCAAAGGUGAUCUACGGAUUCACAAUUUUCUAAAGAAUGUAACUAUGGCAAACCUAAACACAGUGGUACCAUCACAAAGCUACAAAAU